rnacentral:rRNA from 1 species
GACGAACGCUGGCGGCGUGCUUAACACAUGCAGGUCGAACGGUGAAGCGCCUUCCUUUUUGGUGGGUGUGGAUGAGUGGCGAACGGGUGAGUAACACGUGAGUAACCUGCCCCCUUCUUCUGGAUAACCGCAUGAAAGUGUGGCUAAUACGGGAUAUUCUGGGUCUGUCGCAUGAUGGGUCUGGGAAAGAUAUUGUUUCGGUGGGGGAUGGGCUCGCGGCCUAUCAGCUUGUUGGUGGGGUGAUGGCCUACCAAGGCGGUGACGGGUAGCCGGCCUGAGAGGGGGGAGGGUCACAGUGGGGAAGAGACACGGCGCGGACUCCUACGGGGGGCAGGAGUGGGGGUGAGUGGGGGAGGGUCGCAGGGCUGAUGCAGCGACGGCGCGUGAGGGAUGGAGGCCUGCGGGGGGUGAACCGCGUUCGCAAGUGAAGCAGGCCUGCCUCGUUUGUGGGUGGGUUGACGGUAGCUGGAUAAGAAGCGCCGGCUAACUACGUG